GGCGAACGGGUGAGUAACACGUGAGUAACCUGCCCUUGACUCUGGGAUAACUUCAGGAAACUGGGGCUAAUACCGGAUAGGAGCUCCUGCUGCAUGGUGGGGGUUGGAAAGUUUCGGCGGUUGGGGAUGGACUCGCGGCUUAUCAGCUUGUUGGUGGGGUAGUGGCUUACCAAGGCUUUGACGGGUAGCCGGCCUGAGAGGGUGACCGGCCACAUUGGGACUGAGAUACGGCCCAG
rnacentral:rRNA from 1 species